rnacentral:rRNA from 1 species
UACGGAGGGUGCAAGCGUUAUCCGGAUUUACUGGGUUUAAAGGGGGCGUAGGUGGGUUGGUAAGUCAGUGGUGAAAUACUUUCGCUUAACGAAGGAACUGCCAUUGAUACUAUCAAUCUUGAAUGUAGUGGAGGUAGGCGGAAUGCGUCAUGUAGCGGUGAAAUGCUUAGAUAUGACGCAGAACACCAAUUGCGAAGGCAGCUUGCUACACUACUAUUGACACUGAGGCACGAAAGCGUGGGGAUCAAACAGG